rnacentral:misc_RNA from 1 species
AUCUCAAUCCAUUUAUCAGCAAUGGCCAUGUGGAGACGGUAAUCAAAUCCAACACCACCAUCUUCAACUGGAAUGCAAAAUGCUGGCAUUCCACUAACAUCUUCACCAAUCGUAACAGCCUCAGGGAAGAGACCAUGAAUCAUAUCAUUCACGAGCAUCAAAUAAACCACGGCAUCUACAUCAGUUGCAUAUCCAAAGUACUCAUUGUAGUUGCCAGUAAAAGCUACCUGCAAUCCAUGAUGAGUGUACAUCAUUGAAGUCACCCCAUCAAAUCUGAAACCAUCAAACUUAUACUCAUCCAACCACCACCUUGCAUUUGAAAGAAGAAACCUUAGUACCUCCCACCUUCCAUAGUUGAAAAGGCGAGAGUCCCACAUCCAAUGAUGACCCCGUGAUCCAGAGUGGAAGUAGUGACUGUCCGUACCAUCAAACAUGUUCAGCCCAUCCAAUGUAUUAUUUGAUGCAUGGCUAUGAACAAUAUCCAUGAGAACAAGCAAGCCUAAUUCAUGAGCUUUAUCUAUUAAAGACUUCAAAUCAUCAGGAGUUCCAAACCGGCUGCU